rnacentral:sRNA from 1 species
UUCGUGGUACAUCUGCCGACUAAGUGCUC